UACGUAGGCAGCGAGCGUUGUUCGGAGUUACUGGGCGUAAAGGGUGUGUAGGCGGUUGUUUAAGGUUGGUGUGAAAUCUCCCGGCUCAACUGGGAGGGUGCGCCGAAUACUGAAUGACUAGAGUGCGGGAGAGGAAAGUGGAAUUCCUGGUGUAGCGGUGAAAUGCGUAGAUAUCAGGAGGAACACCGGUGGUGUAGACGGCUUUCUGGACCGUAACUGACGCUGAGACACGAAAGCGUGGGUAGCAAACAGG
rnacentral:rRNA from 1 species